UACGUAGGGGGCAAGCGUUGUCCGGAAUUAUUGGGCGUAAAGAGCUCGUAGGCGGCUUAGUAAGUCGGCGGUGAAAUACCGAGGCUCAACCUCGGCACUGCCGUCGAUACUGCUAUGGCUAGAGUUUGGUAGAGGAGAACGGAAUUCCCGGUGUAGCGGUGGAAUGCGCAGAUAUCGGGAGGAACACCCGUAGCGAAGGCGGUUCUCUGGGCCGAUACUGACGCUGAGGAGCGAAAGCGUGGGGAGCGAACAGG
rnacentral:rRNA from 1 species